rnacentral:rRNA from 1 species
ACACGACUACAUUAGAUACCCGGGUAGUCCUAGCCGUAAACGAUACUCGCUAGGUGUCGGCCACGGUGCGACCGUUGUCGGUGCCGUAGGGAAGCCGUGAAGCGAGCCGCCUGGGAAGUACGGUCGCAAGGCUGAAACUUAAAGGAAUUGGCGGGGAGCACCACAACGGGUGGAGCCUGCGGUUUAAUUGGACUCAACGCCGGGAAGCUCACCGGAUAAGACAGCGGAAUGAUUGCCGGGCUGAAGACCCUGCAUGACCAGCUG